AGCAGCCGCGGUAAUUCCAGCUCCAAUAGCGUAUAUUAAAGUUGUUGCAGUUAAAAAGCUCGUAGUUGAAUUUCGGGGUUAGUAGGUUGGUCAUGCCUCUGGUAUGUACUGGUCUCACUGAUUCCUCCUUCCUGAUGAACCUUAAUGCCAUUAAUUUGGUGUUUUGGGGAAUUUGGACUGUUACUUUGAGAAAAUUAGAGUGUUUAAAGCAAGCUAACGCUUGAAUACAUUAGCAUGGAAUAAUGAAAUAGGACGUUCGAUCCUAUUUUGUUGGUUUCUAGGAUUGACGUAAUGAUUAAUAGGGAUAGUUGGGGGCAUUAGUAUUCAAUUGUCAGAGGUGAAAUUCUUGGAUUUAUUGAAGACUAACUACUGCGAAAGCAUUUGCCAAGGAUGUUUUCAUUAAUCAAGAACGAAAGUUAGGGGAUCGAAGACGAUCAGAUACCGUCGUAGUCUUAACCAUAAACUAUGCCGACUAG
rnacentral:misc_RNA from 1 species